rnacentral:rRNA from 1 species
UCGGGAAUUUUGGGCAAUGGGGGAAACCCUGACCCAGCAACGCCGCGUGAAGGAUGAAGUAUUUCGGUAUGUAAACUUCGAAAGAAUAGGAAGAAUAAAUGACGGUACUAUUUAUAAGGUCCGGCUAACUACGUGCCAGCAGCCGCGGUAAUACGUAGGGUGCAAGCGUUAAUCGGAAUUACUGGGCGUAAAGCGUGCGCAGGCGGCUUUGCAAGACAGAUGUGAAAUCCCCGGGCUCAACCUGGGAACUGCAUUUGUGACUGCAAGGCUGGAGUACGGUAGAGGGGGAUGGAAUUCCGCGUGUAGCAGUGAAAUGCGUAGAUAUGCGGAGGAACACCGAUGGCGAAGGCAAUCCCCUGGACCUGUACUGACGCUCAUGCACGAAAGCGUGGGGAGCAAACAGGAUUAGAUACCCCCGUAGUCCCUGAGCGGGCUGGCAAGGCGCA